rnacentral:miRNA from 1 species
CAGCGCACUCAAGUUCUCAUGC